AUUGAACGCUGGCGGCAGGCCUUACACAUGCAAGUCGAACGGCAGCAUGGUCCGGCUUUCUUGAUUGAUGUCGCGUGUCGAACGGGGGUGUAAUACAUCUGAACAUGCCCUUUAGUGUGGGGUAACUAGUCGGGAGAUUAGCGCAUAUCGCAUACGCCCUGUAGGGGAAAGUGAGGGACCUCAACGCCUCUUGCGAGAUUAACUGCCGAUGUCUGAUUAGCUAGUUGUGGAGGUAAAGGCUCACCAAGGCGACGAUCAGUAGCUGGUCUGAGAGGACGAUCAGCCACACUGGGACUGAGACACGGUCCAGACUCCUACGGGAGGCAGCAGUGGGGAAUUUUGGACAAUGGGCGCAAGCCUGAUCCAGCCAUGCCGCGUGUGUGAAGAAGGCCUUCGGGUUGUAAAGCCCUUUUGUCGGGAAAGAAAAGGAGCAGGUUAAUACCCCGCGUUGCUGACGGUACCGGAAGAAUAAGGACCGGCUAACUACGUG
rnacentral:rRNA from 1 species